GGUGGAAUUAAUAGAAUAAAACUGGCUCAUCAUCUUUAGAUGGUACUAAGUGUAAGAGUUUUGGUAUAGCAAGUCAACUAUUCCAGAAAAAGAAAAAAUAAGUGUAAGAGUUUUGGUAUAGCAAAGUUAAUUCCGAUUCUCUCUCUCGAGUUCCAUUGAGGAAGCACAACAAAUUGGAAGUUGUAGAUAUGAUUUUGUUACUGCCUGGGGUUAAAAGUUUGUCUUAUGUGAGAUCAAAAUAACAUGGAAAUUUUUUUACCUUAACGGAUCAGGUUAUGCAGGGGCAUACAACAUUCUAAUAGAAGGAAUGAAGAACUUCAACAAAUCAACAAGAAAAUUCAUUGAAUGCCUCCAAACUAUCGAUGGUAACAAUUUUCCUUAGAUAAUGAUGCGUAUGCAGCUCAGGCAUUGCGAAUGGAGCAAGGCUGCAGAAUGUGCAUAGGUUUCUCGAGUCUCAUUGUGUUUCACUCCAAGUGAUAUAGGAGGUCGUGUCACGUCAUGUAGCAGCCCAAGAUCACUCUAUGGAAGUAACUUUGCGGAUCAUGAGUGUCCAUUGAAUGUAUCUCUAGGAUUUAUUACUGUUUUUUCCCUUAUGUUGAAUUGAUGUAAAAUAUUACUCCAUGAAUUUUAAUACAUUUGAUGGUGUAAUUCUGAA